GACGAACGCUGGCGGCGUGCUUAACACAUGCAAGUCGAACGGAAAGGCCCUGCUUUUGUGGGGUGCUCGAGUGGCGAACGGGUGAGUAACACGUGAGUAACCUGCCCUUGACUUUGGGAUAACUUCAGGAAACUGGGGCUAAUACCGGAUAGGAGCUCCUGCUGCAUGGUGGGGGUUGGAAAGUUUCGGCGGUUGGGGAUGGACUCGCGGCUUAUCAGCUUGUUGGUGGGGUAGUGGCUUACCAAGGCUUUGACGGGUAGCCGGCCUGAGAGGGUGACCGGCCACAUUGGGACUGAGAUACGGCGCAGACUCCUACGGGAGGCAGUAGUGGGGAAUAUUGCACAAUGGGAGGAAGCCUGAUGCAGCAACGCCGCGUGCGGGAUGACGGCCUUCGGGUUGUAAACCGCUUUCGCCUGUGACGAAGCGUGAGUGACGGUAAUGGGUAAAGAAGCACCGGCUAACUACGUG
rnacentral:rRNA from 1 species